CACGUAGGGCGCGAGCGUUGUCCGGAAUUAUUGGGCGUAAAGAGCUCGUAGGCGGCUUGUCGCGUCGGAUGUGAAAGCCCGGGGCUUAACUCCGGGUCUGCAUUCGAUACGGGCAGGCUAGAGUUCGGUAGGGGAGAUCGGAAUUCCUGGUGUAGCGGUGAAAUGCGUAGAUAUCAAGUGGAACACCAGUGGCGAAGGCGAGUCUCUGGACAUUUCCUGACGCUGAGGCACGAAAGCCAGGGGAGCAAACGGG
rnacentral:rRNA from 1 species